GUGAUUAAUAAUAUUUUUUCCAUUUUCAUAGCGUGUUCCAUUACUUAUUGGCAUACUUUGGUUGGUAAGUCAGUUCCCACUUCAACCUUUGAAACGAAAAGGCAUGUCUCCUCUCAAUACAGUUUGUCUGAUAGCCUAUGGGAAAAUACCAGACAGCAGCAUUUAGUUGUUUGGGUUUGUCUAAUUGACAACACUGGCCUCAAAGUGUUGCCUGUGGCAAACAGAUGUCUUUAUUUAUCAACUCCCCAAGCGCUUGACUUCUUGUUUUUCACAGUGUGUGUGAGUGUGCAGCUUGGAGCAGUCAUAACAACCUCGCACGAAGACGGAAGAAGCAUCCUCUUCAAAGGGCAGUGCCUUGAUGUUCUCAUCGAAGUGCAAACAAGACUCCAUACUUCAAGACUUCAAAUGUGGAGGUGAGAUUAAGCACAGAUCAUGCUGAUGUGACACAAGUAGGAUUCUGUGUACUUUUUGUGA
rnacentral:lncRNA from 1 species